AUCGCUUCUCGGCUCCUUGGAGCUCAGAUCAAGUGUAGUAUCUGUUCUUCUCAGUUUAAUAUCUGAUAUGUCCUUGAUUUAAGGACUGUCUAUUAAAUGAAUGUUUGAAAAGGGGGGAUGGACUAGGAGCUUGCUCUAUCCACCCCAGGCAUCAACCUGGUAUUGCAGUGUUUCUAGGAAUGGUGCAUCUCCU
rnacentral:snRNA from 1 species